CCUACGGGGGGCAGCAGUGAGGAAUAUUGGUCAAUGGACGAGAGUCUGAACCAGCCAAGUAGCGUGAAGGAUGACUGCCCUAUGGGUUGUAAACUUCUUUUAUAUGGGAAUAAAGUGUUCCACGUGUGGGUUUUUGUAUGUACCAUAUGAAUAAGGAUCGGCUAACUCCGUGCCAGCAGCCGCGGUAAUACGGAGGAUCCGAGCGUUAUCCGGAUUUAUUGGGUUUAAAGGGUGCGCAGGCGGAAGAUAAAGUCAGCGGUAAAAUUGAGAGGCUCAACCUCUUCGAGCCGUUGAAACUGGUGUUCUUGAGUGAGUGAGAAGUAGGCGGAAUGCGUGGUGUAGCGGUGAAAUGCAUAGAUAUCACGCAGAACUCCGAUUGCGAAGGCAGCAUACCGGCGCUCAACUGACGCUCAUGCACGAAAGUGUGGGUAUCGAACAGGAUUAGAUACCCCAGUAGUC
rnacentral:rRNA from 1 species